UGUCCUAUUGAACCUCAGACCCCAAUUUCC
rnacentral:piRNA from 1 species